rnacentral:tmRNA from 1 species
GGGGGCGACACGGCUUCGACGGGUCUGGUGAACGUGGGGCUGCGUGCCGAGGUCCGGGGACCUCGCUAAUCCUCCCGGAAAAACCAACAAGUGCCAACGACAACUUGGCUCUGGCCGCCUAGCCAAUAGGCAGCCCGCUUCCCGGCCCGCC